rnacentral:lncRNA from 1 species
ACAAUGUCACUAGGUUAAUUAAUUCAAUUAAUGACUCCCAGUGCAAUGUUUUCCUUUGUCUCUUUCAUUUGCCACAGGCUGCUGAACAGGUACUCCUACGGAUGUAUUCUGAAGUUAUGUCACAGAUAAGGAAUAAUGUACUGUUUUCAUGCCUACUUGUGAAGUGUCUUAAUUUUUAAUGAAGUUUGGAAUAUUUCUGAGUAAGAACUGAAGCAUCUCUACUCAUUUAGAGGAAAUGUUACACAAUGCAGGACAAACCAGUCAAGCCACUUUAAACAGGAUAAAUGAAUGAAGGCGUCAAGCCAAAUCGGCAUGACCCUUUCCUAGAGAACUUGAGUUCAAAGGACUAUCCCCUCUCAGAGACUGAAGCAUGUCUGGUAGAAAUGCCACCGGAGAGAACUGCGCCCGAGAGCUGGUGAGUACGGCACUACUGGGUAAAUGGUCACUGUUCUGCUU